rnacentral:rRNA from 1 species
UAAGUAUAAGCAAUUAUACCGUGAAACUGCGAAUGGCUCAUUAAAUCAGUUAUCGUUUAUUUGAUAAUACCUUACUACUUGGAUAACCGUGGUAAUUCUAGAGCUAAUACAUGCUGAAAAUCCCGACUUCGGAAGGGAUGUGUUUAUUAGAUAAAAAACCAAUGCCCUUCGGGGCUUUUUGGUGAUUCAUGAUAACUUUACGGAUCGCAUAGCCUUGCGCUGGCGACGGUUCAUUCAAAUUUCUGCCCUAUCAACUUUCGAUGGUAAGGUAUUGGCUUACCAUGGUUUCAACGGGUAACGGGGAAUUAGGGUUCGAUUCCGGAGAGGGAGCCUGAGAAACGGCUACCACAUCCAAGGAAGGCAGCAGGCGCGCAAAUUACCCAAUCCCGACACGGGGAGGUAGUGACAAUAAAUACUGAUACAGGGCUCUUUUGGGUCUUGUAAUUGGAAUGAGUACAAUUUAAACCUCUUAACGAGGAACAAUUGGAGGGCAAGUCUGGUGCCAGCAGCCGCGGUAAUUCCAGCUCCAAUAGCGUAUAUUAAAGUUGUUGCAGUUAAAAAGCUCGUAGUUGAAACUUGGGCCUGGCUGGCGGGUCCGCCUCACCGCGUGCACUCGUCCGGCCGGGCCUUCCUUCUGAAGAACCUCAUGCCCUUCACUGGGCGUGCUGGGGAAUCAGGACUUUUACUUUGAAAAAAUUAGAGUGUUCAAAGCAGGCCUUUGCUCGAAUACGUUAGCAUGGAAUAAUAAAAUAGGGCGUGCGUUUCUAUUUUGUUGGUUUCUAGAGACGCCGCAAUGAUUAACAGGAACAGUCGGGGGCAUCAGUAUUCAGUUGUCAGAGGUGAAAUUCUUGGAUUUACUGAAGACUAACUACUGCGAAAGCAUUUGCCAAGGAUGUUUUCAUUAAUCAGUGAACGAAAGUUAGGGGAUCGAAGACGAUCAGAUACCGUCGUAGUCUUAACCGUAAACUAUGCCGACUAGGGAUCGGGCGAUGUUCUUUUUCUGACUCGCUCGGCACCUUACGAGAAAUCAAAGUUUUUGGGUUCUGGGGGA